rnacentral:lncRNA from 1 species
GCCUGACGGGCGAAGGUCGGCGCAGCAGAGGGAGCGGCGCGCGCUGGGCCGCAGGAGCUCGCGGGUCGGAGGGUCUGACUUGGGCGCGUCUCCGCAGCGCCUUGAGCUCGCUUCCUCCUGCUCUCAGGAAAAACUGAGGAAACGCGCCUGGUUCCAGGGGUCGGCGGGGACCGUGGAGACUCUGCUAGCAUCCUC